AAUAAUAAUAAUAAUAAUAAUAAUAAUAAUAAUAAUAAUAAUAACAACAACAACACCAUCAAAAAAAUACCUUACGGAAUAAGAACCCUGGUUCCAAAUUUUACCAGGACACCUGGUGAAGGCUAGAGGUUAUAUCAGCCGAUCAAUGUUAACAAACAGAGGA